UACGGGGGGAGCAAGCGUUGUUCGGAUUUACUGGGCGUAAAGCGUGCGCAGGCGGUUCGUUGUGUCCGAUGUGAAAGCCCCGGGCUUAACCUGGGAAUGGCAUUGGAAACUGGCGGGCUUGAGUGCGGCAGAGGGGGGUGGAAUUCCGCGUGUAGCAGUGAAAUGCGUAGAGAUGCGGAGGAACACCGAUGGCGAAGGCAGCCCCCUGGGUCGACACUGACGCUCAGGCACGAAAGCGUGGGGAGCAAACAGG
rnacentral:rRNA from 1 species